UACGUAGGGGGCAAGCGUUGUCCGGAUUUAUUGGGCGUAAAGCGCUCGUAGGCGGUCCGAUGCGUCGUGCGUGAAAGACCCCGGCUCAACUGGGGAGGGUCGUGCGAUACGGUCGGACUCGAGGCCAGUAGGGGGACGCGGAAUUCCGGGUGUAGUGGUGGAAUGCGUAGAGAUCCGGAGGAACACCAGCGGCGAAGGCGGCGUCCUGGACUGGUACUGACGCUCAGGAGCGAAAGCGUGGGGAGCGAUCCGG
rnacentral:rRNA from 1 species